rnacentral:rRNA from 1 species
GACGAACGCUGGCGGCGUGCUUAACACAUGCAAGUCGGACGAUGAAGCGGUGCUUGCACCGUGGAUUAGUGGCGAACGGGUGAGUAAUACGUGAGUGACCUACCUUUGACUCUGGGAUAAGCCUGGGAAACUGGGUCUAAUACCGGAUACGACCAAUCUCUGCAUGGGGUGUUGGUGGAAAGCGUUAUGGAGUGGUUUUAGAUGGGCUCACGGCCUAUCAGCUUGUUGGUGAGGUAAUGGCUUACCAAGGCGACGACGGGUAGCCGGCCUGAGAGGGUGACCGGCCACACUGGGACUGAGACACGGCCCAGACUCCUACGGGAGGCAGCAGUGGGGAAUAUUGCACAAUGGGCGCAAGCCUGAUGCAGCGACGCCGCGUGAGGGAUGACGGCCUUCGGGUUGUAAACCUCUGUUAGCAUCGAAGAAGCGAAAGUGACGGUAGGUGCAGAGAAAGCGCCGGCUAACUACGUGCCAGCAGCCGCGGUAAUACGUAGGGCGCGAGCGUUGUCCGGAAUUAUUGGGCGUAAAGAGCUUGUANGCGGUUGGUCGCGUCUGCUGUGAAGGCCGGGGCUUAACUCCGGUUUUGCAGUGGGUACGGGCUAACUAGAGUGCAGUAGGGGAGACUGGAAUUCCUGGUGUAGCGGUGGAAUGCACAGAUAUCAGGAGGAACACCGAUGGCGAAGGCAGGUCUCUGGGCUGUAACUGACGCUGAGAAGCGAAAGCAUGGGGAGCGAACAGGACUAGAUACCCUGGUAGUCCAUGCCGUAAACGUUGGGCACUAGGUGUGGGGGACAUUCCACGUUUUCCGCGCCGUAGCUAACGCAUUAAGUGCCCCGCCUGGGGAGUACGGCCGCAAGGCUAAAACUCAAAGGAAUUGACGGGGGCCCGCACAAGCGGCGGAGCAUGCGGAUUAAUUCGAUGCAACGCGAAGAACCUUACCAAGGCUUGACAUGCAUUAGAUCGCGUCAGAGAUGGCGUUUCCCUUCGGGGCUGGUGUACAGGUGGUGCAUGGUUGUCGUCAGCUCGUGUCGUGAGAUGUUGGGUUAAGUCCCGCAACGAGCGCAACCCUCGUUCUAUGUUGCCAGCGGUUCGGCCGGGGACUCAUAGGAGACUGCCGGGGUCAACUCGGAGGAAGGUGGGGAUGACGUCAAAUCAUCAUGCCCCUUAUGUCUUGGGCUUCACGCAUGCUACAAUGGCCGGUACAGAGGGUUGCGAUACUGUGAGGUGGAGCUAAUCCCUUAAAGCCGGUCUCAGUUCGGAUUGGGGUCUGCAACUCGACCCCAUGAAGUCGGAGUCGCUAGUAAUCGCAGAUCAGCAACGCUGCGGUGAAUACGUUCCCGGGCCU